UAAAGAAUAUUCAUUUUCAGCCAUUUAUUUUUCUGUUCACUUGAUGGAUGAAAGAACAAUAUCGAAAGUGCGUGAAAUUUGAUUUCUAAAUAGUUUAAAUGGUUUAGAUCAUAUUUAACGGAGCCGAUUGUCAAUUUGGAAGCUCUAUCAUCGAAAACAAAUCGGUAGUAAAACGGCUCGUUUAGCUCUCGAGAGUAUUCUAUGCUCAACUCAAUAUAUAUAGUUGAGCUAAAUACUCUCAGAGAAACGAGCCCGUUUACUCAUCGGUUGUGUCGAAUAAGCUUCGGCAAUGACGAUCGUCGCUCCGUUAACAUGAUUUAUACCACCUAAGUUUAGAAAUCAAAUUUUUAAAAUCUUGCGCCAACAUAUGCCUAAGGAUCUAAAGGGUUUCAAAAUUUGUAAUUUAAUGGUGGAUAAGAACGUUCUCGUUUAACGGUGUAAAGAUAUCCAAAUCAAUUGAAUUUUUGUAGAAAAUCUUCAAAAACUAUUAAAACAAGAUCUAUACUCUUAUCUUGGUUUACAAACUCCUAUCAUCUCGUUUUUUAAACGAAAUUCUUAUUCAGCCAUGCUUCAUGUUUUUUGUUCGCACUAGAUGGAUAUAAAACAAUAUCGAAAGUGGCUGAAAUCUGAUUUCUAGUUAGUUAAAUGUUAGAUCAUAUUUUCACGAGCCGAUCGUCAAAUUGGAAACUCUACAUCGACAAACCAACUCGAGAGUAAACGGGCUCGUUUACUCUCGAGAGUAUCUAGCUCAACUCUAUAUAUAAAUUGAGCUAGAAUACUAUCGGUAGUAAACCAGUCAUUUUACCUAUUUGUUUUCGAUGAUAGAGCUUCCAAAUUGACGAUCGGCUCCGUUGAACAUGAUCUAUACCACUUGAAAUGUUUAGAAAUCAAAUUUCAAAUCUUUUCGACAUCAUUUGCCUAAUGAUUAAAGGGUUUCAAAAUUUGUAAUUUUAAUGGUCAAUUAGAGGCGUUUUCUCGUUUAACGGCGUAAAGAUAUCCAAAUCAAUUGAAUUUUUGUUAGAAAAUUUUUUAAACUAUUUAAAACAAGAUCUAUACUCUUGAUCUUGAUUAUAAGACUCCUAUCAUCAUUUUUUAAAGAAUAUUCAUUUUCAGCCAUUCAUUUUUCUGUUCACUUGAUGGAUAAAAGAACAAUAUCGAAAGUGCGUGAAAUUUGAUUUCUAGGUAGUUUAAAUGGUUUAGAUCAUAUUUCACGGAGGCGAUCGUUAAUUUGGAAGCUCUAUUAUUGAAAACAAAUAGGUAGUAAAACGGCUCGUUUACUACUGAUAGUAUUCUAGCUCAACUCUAUAUAU
rnacentral:lncRNA from 1 species